rnacentral:rRNA from 1 species
CCCUUAGAGUUUGAUCCUGGCUCAGGACGAACGCUGGCGGCGCGCCUAACACAUGCAAGUCGAACGAGAGAUGAGGAGCUUGCUCUUCAGAUCGAGUGGCGAACGGGUGAGUAACGCGUGAGGAACCUGCCUCAAAGAGGGGGACAACAGUUGGAAACGACUGCUAAUACCGCAUAAGCCCACGGCUCGGCAUCGAGCAAAGGGAAAAGGAGUGAUCCGCUUUGAGAUGGCCUCGCGUCCGAUUAGCUAGUUGGUGAGGUAAUGGCCCACCAAGGCGACGAUCGGUAGCCGGACUGAGAGGUUGAACGGCCACAUUGGGACUGAGACACGGCCCAGACUCCUACGGGAGGCAGCAGUGGGGAAUAUUGCACAAUGGGGGAAACCCUGAUGCAGCGACGCCGCGUGGAGGAAGAAGGUCUUCGGAUUGUAAACUCCUGUUGUGAGGAAGAUAAUGACGGUACUCAACAAGGAAGGACGGCUACUGG